rnacentral:rRNA from 1 species
GAUGAACGCUGGCGGCGUGCCUAAUACAUGCAAGUCGAACGGAGCUAAACAGCAAUGGAUAGCUUAGUGGCGAACGGGUGAGAAACGCGUUGGUGACCUGCCCUAAAGCGGGGGAUAACAGAUCGAAAGGUUUGCUAAUACCGCGUAAUGUGAUCGAGGUUAGGUGCUUGAUCAAGGAAGCUGAGAAGCGCUUUAGGAGGGACCUGCGUCCCAUCAGCUAGUUGGUGAGGUAGAGGCUCACCAAGGCGAUGACGGGUAGGGGACCUGAGAGGGUGACCCCCCACAAUGGAACUGAAACACGGUCCAUACACCUACGGGUGGCAGCAGUAGGGGAUAUUGGGAAUGGGCGGAAGCCUGACCCAGCAACGCCGCGUGAACGAUGAAGGCCUUCGGGUUGUAAAGUUCUUUUGUACUGGGAAGAGAGAGGACGGUACCAGUCGAAUAAAGUCUCGGCUAACUAACGUG